GACGUAGGGAGCAAGCGUUGUCCGGAAUUACUGGGCGUAAAGAGCUCGUAGGCGGGACCGUAAGUCCGAGAGGAAAUCUCAAGGCUCAACUUUGGGGCUUUCUUGGAUACUGCGGUUCUUGAGGAUAUCAGAGGAUAGUAGAAUUCCCGGUGUAGCGGUGAAAUGCGUAGAUAUCUGGAGGAACACCGGUGGCGAAGGCGGCAUCCUGGACCGGCAUUGACGCUGAGGCGCGAAAGCCAGGGGAGCAAAGCGGG
rnacentral:rRNA from 1 species